GACGAACGCUGGCGGCGUGCUUAACACAUGCAAGUCGAACGGUGACGGAGAGCUUGCUCUCCUGAUCAGUGGCGAACGGGUGAGUAACACGUGGGCAACCUGCCCAGACUUCGGGAUAACGCUUCGAAAGAGGUGCUAAUACCGGAUACGAGCUCCUUGGGCAUCCUUGGAGUUGGAAAAGUUUUUCGGUCUGGGAUGGGCCCGCGGCCUAUCAGCUAGUUGGUGAGGUAACGGCUCACCAAGGCGACGACGGGUAGCCGGCCUGAGAGGGCGACCGGCCACACUGGGACUGAGACACGGCCCAGACUCCUACGGGAGGCAGCAGUGGGGAAUAUUGCGCAAUGGGCAAAGCCUGACGCAGCAACGCCGCGUGAGGGAUGACGGCCUC
rnacentral:rRNA from 1 species